CGUAACUAUAACGGUCCUAAGGUAGCGAAAUUCCUUGUCGGGUAAGUUCCGACCUGCACGAAUGGCGUAAUGAUGGGGGCGCUGUCUCCACCCGAGACUCAGUGAAAUCGAAAUCGCAGUGAAGAUGCUGUGUACCCGCGGCUAGACGGAAAGACCCCGUGAACCUUUACUAUAGCUUCACAGUGGACUUUGAACCUGUUUGUGUAGGAUAGCUGGGAGACUUUGAAGCAGUGACGCUAGUUACUGUGGAGUCGUCCUUGAAAUACCAGCCUGGCAUGUUUGAGGUUCUAACCUAGGUCCCUUAUCGGGAUCGGGGACAUUGUGUGGUGGGUAGUUUGACUGG
rnacentral:rRNA from 1 species